ACCCAAGUUCACAUGACGACUCAGUCACUCAGCCCUUUCUAGUUUCUACUAAAGUCUUACAAGAAAAAAAAGAAAAAAAAAAGAGAGAGAGAUAUGUCUUUUGUGGCUAAGAUGCCAAGUUCAUCGAAGCUCCUUGUGAUGAUGCUUUUCUCAUUCUUGGCGCUUUUCAUAAUUAAUCAAGUUGUUUUCUCUGAUACGCCGUCUAAUUCGUACGCUCCACCUAUUUACUCUCCUGUUCCUGAUGAAUGUUUCAAGACUCCUAAUCGUUGCCGUCCUCCAGGAGAGUCUCAGUUUGAUCAAACUUAAUUGAUUAAGGUGAUAUAUAUAUAUAUAUAAUUAUAUAUGGAUAUCUUCAUAUGUUUUUCAUCAAUUACUGGGAACUGAAACGUUUAUGAGAUCCAUGGUAUAGUAUGUUGCAGUAUGUUAUGAUAUCUCUGUUUUCAUUUAUGUGUGUGUUUUUUUUAAUGUUUUUGGAGUUGUCACCAUUAUGAUGAUAUAUCUCUUAAUCUCUA